rnacentral:lncRNA from 1 species
UUGCUUCGAUCUAGUGAAAAAUUACGUAUAACAUAUCAGUGCAUUUUGUUUGCUACGCAUAGACAAUACAAUGACCAACAAUUGUUUCAAGGAAUUGCUCUCAACAUAAAAAAUAUAUUUCUUUCCAUCAAUCUGACAUUGCUACUAGAGAUAUUAGAAUCUGCUUCGAAGAAAAUUGAAUUUGCAUCCAAGAAAUAAAAAAAUGCUUCCACUCGAGACAGAUGCUAGCACAGACAAUAUCAUCACCGGCCUCUAAUCUUAUCCACCCUUGAUCUCCUCGCUAGGCAUGUCAUGGCCACGGGCUCCCUUAUGUCUUCCACACCAGCAUAAAUAUCGCACGCACAGCUUGAGGCUACGACUACUUCGUCAUCAAGGGCAGUGCCGAGAGCAUAACUUACAGAUGGUUCUAUCACCUACAUUCCAAAAUGUUUUCAGAAUUUGGUUGACUAUGGAAGCAAAAAAACAUGGAAGCGAAUUAUCAUGUGGUGCAAAACAGUUGUAUGUAUAUUGGAAGACACAUAAGAAAAUAACAGACGGUUUGAUCAACCACAACAUAAAUGAUAGGAUGUAUAGAACAAAUUUGAGAAGCAUGGUCGUAGUGCCGUAGUACCUCUAUAUAAGAGACGGUUUGCACGGAAGCAAGCCUUUUAACAGUAACUCUUACAAACAACCCUUGAUGCAUAUAUUUGGUUCAGACAUGCUUCCGUUGUUCUAGAAGUAUUAAGCUGGCAAAUAAUGCAAAUGGUGCAUUAUUAGUGUUGGAUGGAAGCAUCUAAUUUUGGAAAAUGAAACCAAAAAAUUUGCCGGCAACUGCAGAUGUAUAUAUUUGGAAGCUCCCAUCUAAUAGUAAUUGGCUGGGAAUAUUUUGCACGGAAGCAUAGUAACAAACAAGCAUUUUAACAAUAAUCGAACAAACAACCCUCGAUGCAUAUAUUUGGUACAGUCAUGCUUCCAUUUUUCUAGAGGUAUGAAGCUGGAAAAUAAUACAUAUGGUGCAUUAUUCGUGUUGAGUGGAAGCAUGGAAUCCUGAAAAACGAAAGCAAAAUUUUUGCCACCAACUGCGUAUGCAUAUAUUUGGAAGCUCUUUAUACAGGAAAUGAUGAAACAAUAUUUUCUCAACAUUUCUCACCAUCAUUCGAAGCACUGAAUAUUGAGACAAACGAAUAUUUUCUCAACAUUUGGAAGCUAUGGGUUAUCAAAUUAUCUACAAAUCUCUACCUACAAAAAGUUUGUUGACAAAUGACCUAACACAUCACCAGAACGAUACUAGGCAGUCAAUGAAGAUACAAACCAAUAAGUACUCGGCUGUUGGAUAAUCAAAUCUGCGGUGGUAGAUGCGCUGCAAUACGUCGAUUUCAAUAUGGGGCGCUUGUAAUUGGGGUGGUGGCGGCCGUAUUUUGCAGUCUAUUGCAGCUUCUCCGGCCGGGCGGUGCUACUUUGGUAGCCGAUUCAGCCGCUGGCACACCCGAUUUGACAUGAAAAAAGCAUGAAUCGUAGAUGAGGAUGGGGGCUCGAUCAGUGGAGAAGACCCUGAGGUUUGGAGAGGCAGGGCGGAGCUUAAAGGUGGAGCGGCCGUGGUGCUCGACGGCGAGGAGAGCGGGACGGAGCUGUGUGCGAGGCGGGGGGAGAAGGGAUCUGGGCGACGUGGAGGAGAUCAGGCCGGUGUGUUGCGGUUCGAACGGGGAGAAAUUAGGGGAGAGAUUAGGGGCUACGGGUAGUUAGUUCAACGCGGAAUGUUUUGUUUUUACAUAAGAAGCACAAUUUGUGAGCCGUCAGAUUUCAAUUGAAUUGACGGUAUUGGACUGGUCUGGCGCAGGAAAUCUAUCAGACUAUAGAUAGGGGGUGUUUCCCUUAUCGAAAGCGGGGGCUAUCUGCUGAUU